rnacentral:tRNA from 1 species
UGCUAGGUAGCUUAGUAGAUAGAGCAUCAGGCCUAGAGACAGGAAGUCAUGGAUUCAUAUUUCUUCCUAGCUG